rnacentral:rRNA from 1 species
CUUGGUCAUUUAGAGGAAGUAAAAGUCGUAACAAGGUUUCCGUAGGUGAACCUGCGGAAGGAUCAUUAUCGAGUAUGACGUGGGUUUGAUGCUGGCCUAUCCCAAAGGCAUGUGCUCGCCCCGCUAAUCCACUCAACACCUGUGCACCUUUGAGGUGUUACCCUCCGGUCUUUUGACAGGAGCCGUUCCCUUCGUUUACGAAGGUUGAACUGGGGUUGCACCUCUAUUAUACACAAACCAUUACAAAAGUACAGUAGAAUGUCAUCCGCCGUCAUAGGCAAAAAUAAAUACAACUUUCAACAACGGAUCUCUUGGCUCUCGCAUCGAUGAAGAACGCAGCGAAAUGCGAUAAGUAAUGUGAAUUGCAGAAUUCAGUGAAUCAUCGAAUCUUUGAACGCACCUUGCGCUCCUUGGUAUUCCGAGGAGCAUGCCUGUUUGAGUGUCAUGAAAUUCUCAACCCCUUGUGCUUUUGCGAGCUGCAAGGAGGCUUGGAUUUGGGGGACUGUGUUGGCCUAGUCGGUCGACUCCCCUUGAAUGCAUUAGCUGGACUGUCCGUCUUGUUAACGGUUCGCGGUGUGAUACACUAUCUACGCCCCGGUAAUCCCGUCUUUCAGGUCUGGUCAAGCUUUCUAAUCGUCUUCGGACAAUUCAUCUAUUAUCUGACCUCAAAUCAGGUAGGACUACCCGCUGAACUUAAGCAUAUCAAUAAGCGGAGGAAAAGAAACUAACAAGNGAUUCCCCNUARUNAACUGCGNAGUGAARCGGAAAAGCUCAAUUAAAAUCUGACGGUUAUGCCGUCCGAGUUGUAAUCUGGAGAAGUGUUUUUCCGCGUUGGACCCAUGUACAAGUCUCUUGGAACAGAGCGUCAUAGAGGGUGAGAAUCCCGUCUUUGACAUGGACUACCAAUGCUUUGUGAUACGCUCUCAAAGAGUCGAGUUGUUUGGGAAUGCAGCUCAAAAUGGGUGGUAAAUUCCAUCUAAAGCUAAAUAUUGGCGAGAGACCGAUAGCGAACAAGUACCGUGAGGGAAAGAUGAAAAGCACUUUGGAAAGAGAGUUAAACAGUACGUGAAAUUGUUGAAAGGGAAACGCUUGAAGUCAGUCGCGUCGUCCGGGACUCAGCCUUGCUUCUGCUUGGUGUACUUCCUGGUUGACGGGCCAACAUCGAUUUUGAUCGGCGGAUAAAGGUGAAGGGAAUGUGGCACCUCCGGGUGUGUUAUAGCCCUUUGUCAGAUACGUCGAUUGGGAUUGAGGACCGCAGCACGCCUUUUUGGCCGGGGUUCGCCCAUGUAACGUGCUUAGGAUGUUGGCAUAAUGGCUUUAAGCGACCCGUCUUGAAACACGGACC